rnacentral:rRNA from 1 species
CCUACGGGAGGCAGCAGUAGGGAAUCUUCCGCAAUGGACGAAAGUCUGACGGAGCAACGCCGCGUGAACGAUGAAGGCCUUCGGGUCGUAAAGUUCUGUUGUUAGGGAAGAACAAGUGCUAGUUGAAUAAGCUGGCACCUUGACGGUACCUAACCAGAAAGCCACGGCUAACUACGUGCCAGCAGCCGCGGUAAUACGUAGGUGGCAAGCGUUGUCCGGAAUUAUUGGGCGUAAAGCGCGCGCAGGCGGUUUCUUAAGUCUGAUGUGAAAGCCCCCGGCUCAACCGGGGAGGGUCAUUGGAAACUGGGAAACUUGAGUGCAGAAGAGGAAAGUGGAAUUCCAAGUGUAGCGGUGAAAUGCGUAGAGAUUUGGAGGAACGCCAGUGGCGAAGGCGACUUUCUGGUCUGUAACUGACGCUGAGGCGCGAAAGCGUGGGGAGCAAACAGGAUUAGAUACCCUGGUAGUCCACGCUGUAAACGAUGAGUGCUAAGUGUUAGAGGGUUUCCGCCCUUUAGUGCUGAAGUUAACGCAUUAAGCACUCCGCCUGGGGAUACGGUCGCAAGACUGAAACUUAAGGAAUUAACGG